UACGAAGGGGGCUAGCGUUGUUCGGAUUUACUGGGCGUAAAGCGCGUGUAGGCGGGUCGUUAAGUUGGGGGUGAAAUCCCGAGGCUCAACCUCGGAACUGCCUUCAAAACUGGCGACCUGGACUCAAGCAGAGGCAAGUGGAAUUGCGAGUGUAGAGGUGAAAUUCGUAGAUAUUCGCAGGAACACCAGUGGCGAAGGCGACUUGCUGGGCUUGUAGUGACGCUGAGACGCGAAAGCGUGGGGAGCAAACAGGAUUAGAAACCCCCGUAGUCC
rnacentral:rRNA from 1 species